GACGAACGCUGGCGGCGUGCUUAACACAUGCAAGUCGAACGGAAAGGCCCUGCUUUUGUGGGGUGCUCGAGUGGCGAACGGGUGAGUAACACGUGAGCAACCUGCCCUUGACUUUGGGAUAACUUCAGGAAACUGGGGCUAAUACCGGAUAGGAGCUCCUGCUGCAUGGUGGGGGUUGGAAAGUUUCGGCGGUUGGGGGUGGACUCGCGGCUUAUCAGCUUGUUGGUGGGGUAGUGGCUUACCAAGGCUUUGACGGGUAGCCGGCCUGAGAGGGUGACCGGCCACAUUGGGACUGAGAUACGGCCCAGACUCCUACGGGAGGCAGCAGUGGGGAAUAUUGCACAAUGGGCGGAAGCCUGAUGCAGCAACGCCGCGUGCGGGAUGACGGCCUUCGGGUUGUAAACCGCUUUCGCCUGUGACGAAGCGUGAGUGACGGUAAUGGGUAAAGAAGCACCGGCUAACUACGUG
rnacentral:rRNA from 1 species